rnacentral:tRNA from 1 species
AGGGAUUUAGCUCAGUGGCACAGAGCCUGCGCUUCAAAAGCGCAAGGUUGAGAGUUCAAUCCCUG